rfam:Trichobilharzia regenti genome assembly, scaffold: TRE_scaffold0073156
AUCCAGAUGACGAGUCUCAAAUAAGACGAAAUGUGAGUUAUCCUACAU